UGGGGAAUUUUGGACAAUGGGCGAAAGCCUGAUCCAGCAAUGCCGCGUGUGUGAAGAAGGCCUUCGGGUUGUAAAGCACUUUUGUCCGGAAAGAAAUCCUUGGCUCUAAUACAGUCGGGGGAUGACGGUACCGGAAGAAUAAGCACCGGCUAACUACGUGCCAGCAGCCGCGGUAAUACGUAGGGUGCAAGCGUUAAUCGGAAUUACUGGGCGUAAAGCGUGCGCAGGCGGUUUGCUAAGACCGAUGUGAAAUCCCCGGGCUCAACCUGGGAACUGCAUUGGUGACUGGCAGGCUAGAGUAUGGCAGAGGGGGGUAGAAUUCCACGUGUAGCAGUGAAAUGCGUAGAGAUGUGGAGGAAUACCGAUGGCGAAGGCGACGCCCCCUGGGCCAAUACUGACGCUCAUGCACGAAAGCGUGGGGGAGCAAAACAGGAUUAGAUACCCUGGUAGUCCACGCCCUAAACGAUGUCAACUAGUUGUUGGGGAUUCAUUUCCUUAGUAACGUAGCUAACGCGUGAAGUUGACCGCCUGGGGAGUACGGUCGCAAGAUUAAAACUUAAAUGAAUUGACGGGGUCAUAGCUGUUUCCU
rnacentral:rRNA from 1 species